rnacentral:lncRNA from 1 species
GUUUUCCAGUGCUUGCAAAUGUAAGAAACUCUUCUUACUCUUCUUUCUGAGUCAACUGUGAGGUCAGACUCCAGAGAGAUGGAAGAGGAAUCAGACAAGCAGGGUCAUGGGCUGCAGACACAUUGAGGAGCAGCUGAGGUGCUUCUUCUGGCCAAGUGAUAAUGACAAAGAGCAGUCCCAGGUCUGUGGGAAGCAGCUGUCCAAGCAGGAAAUGUGUGCCCUAACUGCAGCCUCCUGUGUUGCAUUGGCACAUUAUGCUGCUUGGGCUGUCCAGCCAGGAAGAGGAAAUAAUGUGGCUUCUUGAUGAGCUGCAAAUCCUAUCAGCUAAUAUCUGAUGAACUGCUGAGAGUUUUCUGUAAUGAGUCAAUAUGAAGCAUUUGUGCCAGUUGAGAUCUGCCUGCAUAAUUUAAUAGCUAUUUGUAUAAGUACUGGUUAGCACAAAGAUUGGGCCCAGAUGACAUGACAGUAAAGUUAAAUACAUAUAUGAUCCCUUAAAAUUGUAAUAAAUACUUCCAUAAAAUUUUUGUCCA